UAGGUGAUUGACAGGACCAUUUUGAGGGAC
rnacentral:piRNA from 1 species